GGUGUCAGGUUCAAAUUUGUUUCUACACGGUUGUUGUUGUUCAGUAUGAGACCAGCCACCGGUAGGACAUUUUUCAAGUUAGAUUCUCUUGGCGGAGCGGGUGCUACCUCCUUUAAGGGCAAUGACUUCUGCAAAACUUUUUCUUUGCUCCAAGCCGGGUUCAAGGGUGACGGCUCAGCGGUCCUCUGGACGGGCGUCCCAGAAACACCGCUUGGUCCCGAACCUCGAAAUUUCUUCCUGAGAACAACAUGAGAGACGCCGUGCUCUUGCUUGACGGUAGCCACGGAGUUGACGAACUUCUUGAAGAGUUCGCGAUUCCGAACUUGAUCCGCAUGGUCCCGGAGGAAGCCUCUAAAGUGCUGAAUCGUUUGUUCCCUGUUGGUUCCGAAGGUCGGGAGUUGGUUGAGAAAUGAAGCCUCGCCCACUUCAGUGCGUUUUGCAAGUGGUCUACACAUCCACGCUUGUGACGAUCUGUGCUCCCAUUGGACAGCACUGACCGGGGCGGCACAAAGAGCACGGAUCCGGAAACGGAGGAAAACAUGCGAGUUCUACCCGCUGCGUUCCUUCUCUGUACAUUUGUGCUAUUGGUGCGGAUUUUUGCUGUUUGUAUUCACACCUGAAGCGAACCGGGUCUCGGUCCGUUUCUUUAAUCCGCACCAGGAUUUGUUUGCGUGUAUUCACACCUGCACAAAAGGUCUGGACCAGCCUUCUUAACCGAACCCUGGUCCGUUUAAAGCGGACCAAACAGUCAGGUCUGAAUACACCCUCAGU